rnacentral:lncRNA from 1 species
GAAGAGUGUAUAUGCUUUUAUGGAAAUAUCUGAAAAUAUUAAGAUCAUCCAUUGUUGAACUUGGAAUUUGGAAGGAGGUAUCUACAAAAACAAGAUUGUGAAAUAAUGGAACCAUGACCAACAAAUGCCUUAUAAUUCCGAAAGCAAGGGAAAGGUUUUUCAAACGUAUUUUGCCAACAUGAUCUGCAAUGGUGUACCCUACCCUACUGUUCCUUCCAUCUUGACUGCUGUCUCCUAA